UGAAUACGAGACGCUAAGGCGUCGAAGUAGUGUAUGUCAUACUUCCAAGAAAAGCUUGCACUGUCAUAGAUAAAAAACGCCUGUACCAUAACCGACACAGGUGGGUAGGUAGAGUAUACUAAGGGGCGCGAGAUAACUCUCUCUAAGGAACUCGGCAAAAUAACUCCGUAACUUCGGGAGAAGGAGUGCCUUAUUAUUAAGGCUGCAAUAACAAGAUCCAAGCAACUGUUUAUCAAAAACACAGGUCUCCGCUAAGUCGUAAGACGAUGUAUGGGGGCUGACGCCUGCCCAGUGCCAGAAGGUUAAAGAAGUUGGUUAGCAUUUGCGAAGCUGAUAACUGAAGCCCUGGUGAACGGCGGCCGUAACAAUAACGGUCCUAAGGUAGCGAAAUUCCUUGUCGGGUAAGUUCCGACCCGCACGAAAGGCGUAAUGAUUUGGAUACUGUCUCGGAGAGGGGCUCGGUGAAAUAGACUUGUCUGUGAAGAUGCGGACUACCUGCACCAGGACAGAAAGACCCUAUGAAGCUUUACUGUAACUUGAAAUUGAAAUUGGACUUUAUUCGCGCAGCAUAGGUGGGAGGCGUUGAUUAUAAUCUUGUGGGAUUAUUGGAGCCAUCAGUGAGAUACCACUCUUGUAAUGUUAGAUUUCUAACUUUGAAUCAUUAUCUGGUCAAAGAACAGUUUCAGGCGGGCAGUUUGACUGGGGCGGUCGCCUCCUAAACGGUAACGGAGGCGUACAAAGGUUUCCUCUGAACGGUUAGAAAUCGUAUCUAGAGUGUAAAGGCAUAAGGAAGCUUGACUGUGAGACCUACAAGUCGAGCAGGGACGAAAGUCGGUCUUAGUGAUCUGACGGUACUGAGUGGAAAGGCCGUCACUCAACGGAUAAAAGUUACUCUAAGGAUAACAGGCUGAUCUCCCCCAAGAGUUCACAUCGACGGGGAGGUUUGGCACCUCGAUGUCGGCUCAUCGCAUCCUGGGGCGGUAGUACGUCCCAAGGGUUGGGCUGUUCGCCCAUGAAAGCGGUACGCGAGCUGGGUUCAGAACGUCGUGAGACAGUUCGGUCCAUAUCCGGUGUAGGCGUUAGAAUAUUGAGAGGAGCCUUCUUUAGUACGAGAGGACCGAGAAGGACAUACCUCUGGUGUACCAGUUAUCGUGCCAACGGUAAACGCUGGGUAGCUAUGUAUGGAGUGGAUAACCGCUGAAAGCAUCUAAGUGGGAAGCCCACCUCAAGAUAAGUAUUCUC
rnacentral:rRNA from 1 species